GAUGAACGCUGACAGAAUGCUUAACACAUGCAAGUCUACUUGAAUUUGGGUUUUUUAACUUAGAUUUGGGUGGCGGACGGGUGAGUAACGCGUAAAGAACUUGCCUCACAGUUAGGGACAACAUUUGGAAACGAAUGCUAAUACCUGAUAUUAUGAAUAUAUGGCAUCAUAUAAUUAUGAAAGCUAUAAGCGCUGUGAGAGAGCUUUGCGUCCCAUUAGCUAGUUGGAGAGGUAACGGCUCACCAAGGCGAUGAUGGGUAGCCGGCCUGAGAGGGUGAACGGCCACAAGGGGACUGAGACACGGCCCUUACUCCUACGGGAGGCAGCAGUGGGGAAUAUUGGACAAUGGACCAAGAGUCUGAUCCAGCAAUUCUGUGUGCACGAUGACGUUUUUCGGAAUGUAAAGUGCUUUCAGUUGGGAAGAAAAAAUGACGGUACCAACAGAAGAAGUGACGGCUAAAUACGUG
rnacentral:rRNA from 1 species